rfam:Planomonospora sphaerica DNA, contig: NODE_12_L315350_C40.
GGGGCCUUAGCUCAGUUGGCAGAGCGCCUGCUUUGCAAGCAGGAUGUCAGGAGUUCGAAUCUCCUAGGCUCCA